rnacentral:rRNA from 1 species
UACGUAGGGGGCAAGCGUUGUCCGGAUUUAUUGGGCGUAAAGAGCGUGUAGGCGGCUAUACAGGUCCGUUGUGAAAACUGGAGGCUUAACCUCCAGACGUCGAUGGAAACCGUAUGGCUAGAGUCCGGAAGAGGAGAGUGGAAUUCCUGGUGUAGCGGUGAAAUGCGCAGAUAUCAGGAAGAACACCCGUGGCGAAGGCGGCUCUCUGGGGACGGUACUGACGCUGAGACGCGAAAAGCGUGGGGGAGCGAACAGG